rnacentral:rRNA from 1 species
AAUGAACGCUGGCGGCAUGCCUAACACAUGCAAGUCGAACGAAGGCUUCGGCCUUAGUGGCGCACGGGUGCGUAACGCGUGGGAAUCUGCCCUCAGGUUCGGAAUAACAGCGAGAAAUUGCUGCUAAUACCGGAUGAUAUCGCGAGAUCAAAGAUUUAUCGCCUGAGGAUGAGCCCGCGUAGGAUUAGCUAGUUGGUGUGGUAAAGGCGCACCAAGGCGACGAUCCUUAGCUGGUCUGAGAGGAUGAUCAGCCACACUGGGACUGAGACAAGGCCGAGACUCCUACGGGAGGCAGCAGUGGGGAAUAUUGGAAAAUGGGCGAAAGCCUGAUCCAGCAAUGCCGCGUGAGUGAUGAAGGCCUUAGGGUUGUAAAGCCCUUUUACCCGGGAUGAUAAUGACAGUACCGGGAGAAUAAGCUCCGGCUAACUCCGUGCCAGCAGCCGCCGUAA